UUGGCUGCGAAGUGACCGUAUCAGAUA
rnacentral:piRNA from 1 species